GAUCAUGGCUCAGGAUGAACGCUGGCGGCGUGCUUAACACAUGCAAGUCGAACGAAGAAGAGUUGAAUGAGAGCUUCGGCAGGAUUUCUUCUCAUCUUAGUGGCGGACGGGUGAGUAACGUGUGGGCAACCUGCCCUAUACUGGGGAAUAAUCACUGGAAACGGUGACUAAUACCGCAUGUCAUCACCGGAGGGCAUCCUCUGGGUGAAAAACUCCGGUGGUAUAAGAUGGAUUCGCGUCUGAUUAGCUAGUUGGUGAGGUAACGGCCCACCAAGGCGACGAUCAGUAGCCGGCCUGAGAGGGUGAACGGCCACAUUGGGACUGAGACACGGCCCAAACUCCUACGGGAGGCAGCAGUGGGGAAUAUUGCACAAUGGGGGAAACCCUGAUGCAGCGACGCCGCGUGAGUGAAGAAGUAUUUCGGUAUGUAAAGCUCUAUCAGCAGGGAAGAAAAUGACGGUACCUGACUAAGAAGCCCCGGCUAACUACGUG
rnacentral:rRNA from 1 species